UCUCUUCACAGGCAAGCUAAUCGUUGGAUCUGCCGACUAUCUGCCGACUACGCCUUGGACAUGCAUGUACUCCCAUACAUCUUUGUAAAAUUAGAGUCAGAAAUCACUCUUUGUGUGAAUGUGGGCUAGACGAAGGUUCCUUAUCCUAUAUACUGUUUUCUUGUCCCAAACUCCUCCAUCCCGUAUACGACGUUCUCCCUCCAAAAGUCCCUCGCCCUAUUAAUGUUGAAUGUUUGUUAAUGUUAUGGGUUAACAGAAAGUCUACUACUAUUAUGCCUUCAAAAUUGUAUUAAGCCUGUAAUCUCGACCGCACCGUUCAAUCUCCAUCGUGUCUUCUCCAUCGCACGUGACAUUGGCGAAAUAAUCUGUGCCCUCUUGGCACAAAUAAAAGCCAGAAUAAAAAAAAAAAGAAAA